GGGGUUGUGGCUCAGUGGCAGAGCGCUUGCCUUGCACGUAUGAGGCAUGGGUUGGAUCCUCAGUACCA
rnacentral:tRNA from 1 species